rnacentral:rRNA from 1 species
GUGAGGAAUUUUCCGCAAUGGGCGAAAGCCUGACGGAGCAAUGCCGCGUGAAGGAUGAAGGCCUAUGGGUUGUAAACUUCUUUUCUCAGAAAAGAAUUAUGACGGUAUCUGAGGAAUAAGCAUCGGCUAACUCUGUGCCAGCAGCCGCGGUAAGACAGAGGAUGCAAGCGUUAUCCGGAAUGAUUGGGCGUAAAGCGUCUGUAGGUUGUUUAAAAAGUAUUCUGUCAAAGAUUAGGGCUUAACCCUAGAUAGGCAGAAUAAACUUUUAAGCUAGAGUGUGGUAGAGGCAGAGGGAAUUCCCGGUGGAGCGGUGAAAUGCGUAGAUAUCGGGAGGAACACCAAAGGCGAAGGCACUCUGCUGGGCCAAUACUAACACUGAGAGACGAAAGCGAGGGGAGCAAAUGGGAUUAGAUACCCCGGUAGUCC